ACCGCCGAGAGGCCGCGUCCUCAGCUGGUCCUAGACAUGCGUGGCGUCGGGGCUGUGGCACGGUCGGGUCCGGGGACACUUGUUUAACAAGACAUCUGCCCAUGUCCCUGGCCCAUCUCAUUGGCUGCAGCACAUCACAGUGGACCUUCUGCCUCCUCCCAGAUGCCCAGGGACAGUGAUCUGGAAGGAAGGGGCUUGAGGCUGUUUUCCUAGAACUCGACUUGAAUGCACCAAGGAAAGGCCAUUUGUGGGGACAUAGCAAGAAGGCAGCUGUCUGCAAGCCAGGAGGAGAACCCUCACCAGAAACCUCACAGAAAUCGGCCAACACCCUCAUCUCGGGCUUCCAGCUUCAGAACAACGAGAAAACAAAUUUCUGUUGUGUCCUGGUUCCCAUUUGUAAUUGGCACCCUAAUGAAACCGUUUUCUGUAGCCCUGGAAAUGGCUGAAAAUGAGGGGAGGGAAAUAAAGUGCUAUAAUUCAGAGCAUGGAGCACACCUUCCUGGUUCACCUGAGCUGGAUUCGGAGAGGUAAAAUGGCCAUUACCUCGUCUAAGCUGCCACUUACAGACACAGUACAGGAUGAGGCCCAGACCCACAGAGACAACGAUGAUGGCCACAGCUAAGAUGAUCCAGAAAUUAUUCCUCCACCAGCUCAUUGCAGUGGAAUCCUGAGAAGAAUGGAGAGAGAAGAAUGAGAGGGCAAAAGCAGAUGGCUACACCGAGAACUCACGCCAGCCCAACACACUUUGAUCUCGAGGCCUCUGGAAGGGAAGGUGCCUAAUGAACUACUGAAAGCCAGAGAUGCAAUGACAAAGAGGUAGACUUCUUCAUCGCCCCUGACAUACACAUGAGGAAAAGGCCCAGAGAGGUGAAGUGAUGCCUCAGGUCACUCAGCCAGUUACCAGUAGAGCAGAUCCUUCAAUGCAAGUUUUUCUCCAACCCUACACAGCAGUCGUACCAGGGCCCCAGGCUGCAAUCCCCUGGCCCAGUGCUGAUCGGUGGCUCCCAGGGACACGCCCUGAUGCCAGCGCUGGCAGAUGUCUGCUGUGAAGAGAGCAGGAAACUGUCCCUUGGAAAGCUGAGAUGCUUACCUGAACUGUGAAAGUAUCCAUAUGUGAGCAGCUAAGGAGACAGCAGUGGCUGGAGUGCUGCAGCUCAGGCACAGCUGACGAGUUUGCCGUGAGCAUUCCUGGAUGUGGCAACCUCAGUCUCAAGAAGAGCGACAGGACGCCAGCUCCCAUGCAGAGACAGAUCCAGGUAAGAAACCAGCUCAUGUGUGACAAACUCACCAUCUCACCAUGAAGGUGACUCUUGAAAGCUCCUGUGCACCUUGGAACUGCUGAGACAUCUUCUGCUUGGAGGAGGCAAGGGACAGGCUUCCUGUUUCUAAAGGCGUGUGAGUGGCGACCUUGAGAAAUGUGGCCAGUGGAGCAUUUUGACUGAGUUGGGUCCCCUCGUGCAAUACUGUGAGACAGAACUCCCAGCGAGGCCCACGGCCUCUGACCAUGGGGGUUGGAGUGGGGAAACCAAUUAGCCAUUUUGUUGAAUUGGCUGGUUCUGACUCAAAUGAGCAGUCACAUUAGUAAAAAUAGGCAAACGGAUGUGCAUUGUAUUUGCCCAGAGCGAAUGAGUUGUUAUCCAUUUCAGUAAUAAUGAUAACCAGAUAUGUCUGAUAAAUAUCUGAUAAUGUCU
ensembl:lncRNA ZNF594-DT ZNF594 divergent transcript